rnacentral:misc_RNA from 1 species
CUGGGUUUUUUCCAUAUUCCAGUGACUGUCAAGAAUCCGGCAAAGAGGGAGGGCCUUGACGCAGUGAUCAGAGUUACCGAGGGCGAGCUUACUGAGGUGGAAGUUACUGCUGAACUGAAGCGCCUAAUACCUGGGACACAGGAUUGGAAGGUGCAAAUGGUUCAGUCUAACGUGUUCCGGACAGCUUUUCCUUCCACAACUGAGCUACAGCGUCUGGUGGAAUGGGGAACGGUUCACUCAAAGAAGAAAGGGGUUCUUUUUCAUUUUGAGGAAAAGCAAUCGGAAAAACCGUGCAAGGUGGUGAACAGCUACUGGGUGCAGGUGUUGGGUAUACCGUUGGUGUAUCGUACUUUCCCAACAAUUUGGGCAGUGGGCAGUUUGCUGGGUACAUCUAUUGAUGUGGACAUGAAACACACCAGGCAAUUUGAGGUUGGUAGAGUUCAAGUUAUGAUUCUUGAUGCUAAUCUUAUUCCCAGCACGGUGGACGUGGUCAUUGGGGAGGAAGUAUACCUUCUGUCCUUCCGCGUUGAAGAUGGGAAUGGGGGGCUUCUGUCUGAGACUGAUAAUGAUGAGAGAGGGUUCAAUGAUGAUGAAGAUGACCUGUUGGGGGAUGAAGAUGGCGAUGAUCUUAAAGGGGAUGGUCCUGGUCAGCUUGGAAAGACGGGUGAUCGGGCUCCAGCUGCUCGCACUGGGGGAACAUUAACCCAUCAAUCCAAGACUAGAACUGCUCAGGGGGCUGCUUUGGAUGAGGAAAGUGGAAUGGGGUUUGUGGUAGUGUCGGGUGUGCAGCAAGGGGCACAAGACGGGGUAGUGGAACCGAACCAAAGAGGGACCUGUAGCGCUCAAGAGUUGGCUGUCAUUCCUGAAAUGUUGGCGGGUAGCAAGUCCACCCGGUCUAGCAAAAGAAGGGGCGCGUCAAUGGACGACUCAACUCUGGAGCGGGCGGAAAGGCUUAAGGCGUGA